rnacentral:rRNA from 1 species
GAUGAACGCUGGCGGCGUGCUUAACACAUGCAAGUCGAACGGUGAAGGAGAGCUUGCUCUCUGGAUCAGUGGCGAACGGGUGAGUAACACGUGAGCAACCUGCCCCAGACUCUGGGAUAACAGUUGGAAACAGCUGCUAAUACCGGAUAUGAAUCGCGGCCGCAUGGUCAGUGGUUGGAAAGAUUUUUCGGUCUGGGAUGGGCUCGCGGCCUAUCAGCUUGUUGGUGAGGUAAUGGCUCACCAAGGCGUCGACGGGUAGCCGGCCUGAGAGGGUGACCGGCCACACUGGGACUGAGACACGGCCCAGACUCCUACGGGAGGCAGCAGUGGGGAAUAUUGCACAAUGGGCGGAAGCCUGAUGCAGCAACGCCGCGUGAGGGAUGACGGCCUUCGGGUUGUAAACCUCUUUUAGCAGGGAAGAAGCGAAAGUGACGGUACCUGCAGAAAAAGCGCCGGCUAACUACGUGCCAGCCGCCGCAGUAACAC